UGGAAGUACCACCUCCUGUAGGCCAUAUUUCCAAAUGAUAUUGGAAUCAAUAAUCCUUGUUUAUAUAACAGUUGCAUCUCAAAAAUGUUUUAUAAACAGUCUUCACAACUCCUUUGUAAAGCAGGUUAAUGUUAAAGUGUUUGCUCUGUAACUAAAUUACCAGAUGAGACCGAGGAAUUAGUGUGAAAUGCUGGUUUACAACAAAAAUCAUCUCCUGCCCAACAAAGAAGACCCAUCAACACCAGACAAACUACAGCCCAGGCAAAAACCUUCCAAGAGCAGAGAGGCAAUUCACAACUUGUCAGGGAAUGUAUGGGACAAACCCAGCCCAGCCUCACAGGAACAAAGGACACUGGCCUAAGCAGCAACAAAGGAUCUGUUGGACUGAGUGAGUCACCCCCCCCCUCCCCGUUCCUUUGGUCAGAUUGGGACUACAAUGAGGUAAUGCUCACCUGACUCUAAAAGGGUUGGGGGGGGGCAAAGCCAAGAGGGAAGAAAGAACAUGAGAAAAGGGAGAGAUGUUUGCCAUGCUCUUCCCCUCUCUUCCAUCUACAUCUACAGCCACCACACCAAGUGACUGAAGCGCUGAUCCAA